AAUAUCAUUUUUAAUUUCUUUUUUUUUAUCUCAUACAUCUUCGUACAAUCAUUUUUGCUUGUCGUGUAUGUUAUUUUUUGCUAUUUGGGCAUCCUAUAUUUUUGCAUCAAGUUAAAGCCUUCCUUCUCCAAAAUUAUAAAUGGAUGCUUAUGCAUUAGAACCCAAUAUGCUACAGCCUCUCUCAUUUUUGCCAUAUCAAAUUUGCCAUCAUAGAGAAAGG
rnacentral:lncRNA from 1 species